rnacentral:rRNA from 1 species
UUAACACAUGCAAGUCGAGGGGAAACGGCAUUAAGUGCUUGCACUUUUUGGACGUCGACCGGCGCACGGGUGAGUAACGCGUAUCCAACCUUCCCAUGACUAAGGGAUAACCUGCCGAAAGGCAGACUAAUACCUUAUGGUCUUCACUGACGGCAUCAGAUGUGAAGUAAAGAUUUAUCGGUUAUGGAUGGGGAUGCGUCUGAUUAGCUUGUUGGCGGGGUAACGGCCCACCAAGGCAACGAUCAGUAGGGGUUCUGAGAGGAAGGUCCCCCACAUUGGAACUGAGACACGGUCCAAACUCCUACGGGAGGCAGCAGUGAGGAAUAUUGGUCAAUGGGCGAGAGCCUGAACCAGCCAAGUAGCGUGCAGGAUGACGGCCCUAUGGGUUGUAAACUGCUUUUGUAUGGGGAUAAAGUCAAUCACGUGUGAUUGUUUGCAGGUACCAUACGAAUAAGGACCGGCUAAUUCCGUGCCAGCAGCCGCGGUAAUACGGAAGGUCCGGGCGUUAUCCGGAUUUAUUGGGUUUAAAGGGAGCGUAGGCUGGAGAUUAAGUGUGUUGUGAAAUGUAGACGCUCAACGUCUGACUUGCAGCGCAUACUGGUUUCCUUGAGUACGCACAACGUUGGCGGAAUUCGUCGUGUAGCGGUGAAAUGCUUAGAUAUGACGAAGAACUCCGAUUGCGAAGGCAGCUGACGGGAGCGCAACUGACGCUGAGGCUCGAAGGUGCGGGUAUCGAACAGGAUUAGAUANCCUGGUAGUCCGCACAGUAAACGAUGGAUGCCCGCUGUUGGUACCUGGUAUCAGCGGCUAAGCGAAAGCAUUAAGCAUCCC